AAUAGAUACCCGGGUAGUCCACGCCGUAAACGAUGAGUGCUAGGUGUUGGGGGGGACCCCCCUCAGUGCCGCAGGUAACCCAAUAAGCACUCCGCCUGGGGAGUACGGUCGCAAGACUGAAACUCAAAGGAAUUGACGGGGGCCCGCACAAGCGGUGGAGCAUGUGGUUUAAUUCGAAGCAACGCGAAGAACCUUACCAGGGCUUGACAUCCCGCUGACCGGUGUAGAGAUAUGCCUUUCCCCUUCGGGGGACAGCGGUGACAGGUGGUGCAUGGUUGUCGUCAGCUCGUGUCGUGAGAUGUUGGGUUCAGUCCCGCAACGAGCGCAACCCUUGUUUCUAGUUGCCAGCACUUCGGGUGGGCACUCUAGAGAGACAGCCGGUGAAAGCCGGAGGAAGGUGGGGAUGACGUCAAGUCAUCAUGCCCCUUAUGUCCUGGGCUACACACGUGCUACAAUGGCUGGUACAAAGGGCAGCGAACCCGCGAGGGGGAGCCAAUCCCAAAAACCAGUCUCAGUUCGGAUUGCAGGCUGCAACUCG
rnacentral:rRNA from 1 species